GGAAGCCAGAGGAGAGGUCAAUGAAUACAGGGUCAAACUGGUCCCAGAGCAGAGCUCCAACCCCUACGCACGACCUGUUAUGACACAGGUGGAGAGAACCGAACUCUCUCUCUCUCUCUCUCUGACCCCUGUGACCCCUGGAAACGGUUCCUACCAGCGACACGCUAUCAGUCAAUGGUGACUUCACAGUUCUCCAGUUACAGCGCGAGCAUCCGACGGCCUGCUCUUCUGUGCAGUGUCUCCUGAAAACCAGGAGGAGUACCUGGCUCUGCAGAUAACCGCAACGGACGCCCCUACCUCCUGUUUUACCCACAGGAGGAGGCUAUCAAGGAGGCGAGGACACUGUUCUGUUCGUCUACUAAUGUACACUCUCCUCGACCCCUUAUCGGUUUCUGGGACACGGAGGAGUGAGGACGGAAGAGUCGAGGAGAGGACGGUUGUUUGCCCAAGUGAAAAUCUCCCGAUGUGGAUCUUCAGCUAUUCCACC
rnacentral:lncRNA from 1 species